CAUGUCCCAUCAUGCACUGCUUUGUGUCCCAGCCCUCCAAGGGUUUCCAGCUUCCUUUUGCACCAUUUUCCCAAGUGUCAGUCUUUGUAGUGUGCACCAGCAUCUGCAGGGAGAGAGGACGGAUCCCGCACUUCUCUCCUAUGCGCUGUUAGCUGUCGUGAGGACACUGUACAUGGCAGCAAAGUUACUGACGGAGGAUGAAUCGCAGGCCCCCCAGUGUGAUAUGGACAGCAGCGACUUACCAGUGGCAUUCACAGAGCAGCUGCAUACCGUAGACCGUCACUUCUGGGCUAGGGAAACAAGCACUGAUUGGUGGGAUCCUAGCGAAAGGGUUCAACGCUACGCAGGAUGAAAAGAGAAAAACCUUCCCCAUGUGGAAACGGUCCAGCGAACUGAGCGAUUCCGGGACCUAUUACUGCAUUGCGAGGGAUCACAGAGACCCCAAGCAGCGACGGAGCUGAGCAAAAACUGAGCAGGUGCGGGCUCAGGGCUGGGAGCCACAUGGGAACUAAAGGGUUCCCAUUAAUAAAUUCUCUCUCUCCCUCCGGCCCCGAGCCUGGGGCCGGAUUCUCUCUCAUUUCUGCACGCCAAACUCUUUUGAACUCAAAACUUGCCAUGAAUGUCUUGAAACAGAAUUUAAGCUAAACUCUGAAAAGGCACGAACACGAGAGAGCUUCUAUUAAACAAACAAGGAAACAUAUACAUAUAUAUGUCUCCCCAACACAAAACAGAAGUACCCAGGUGCCUGACACCCUUUGAAAUCAAUGAGAUGUAGACACCUGUUUGCUUUGGGGAAGUCCCACUAGGUGCCUAAAUAUCUUUAAGAUCUGCCCCCCAAAGCCGUGGCUCUCCCCCGCUCCAGGCUACUUGAACCCUUCCAGGAGCCUGAUUUGCUUCGCCUACCCUCAAGUUUCACCUCACUUAAAAUCUGCUUGCUUACAAAAAUCAGACCUAAAAACACAAACGUGUCACAGAACAGUGUUACCGAAAAAUGGCUGACUUUCUCAUUGUUACCAUAUAAUGAUAAAAUAAAUUAAUUGGGAUAUGAAUAUUGUACUGACAUUUCCGUGUAUCAGGAGCAGUAUAAACAAGUUGUUGUCUGUAUGAAUUUUUAGUUUGUACUGAAUUCUCUAGUGCUUCUUAUGUAGCCUGUUGUAAAACUAUGGAAGGAUCAGAUGAGUUGAUGUACCCCCUGGGAGAUCUCUGCCUUCCCUGGUCGUGAACCACCGAAGUAAGUUAUCAGCACGUGACUUACUACAUUUUUUUUCCAACCAGUGUCUAUCCAUAGCCCCCAGGUGGAGAUGUUUUCCCUGAAUAUAUAAUACAGUCUCGACAGAGUAUUUGCAUGUCUACGAGCCCUGUUUCGUGCUGCCUUCACACCCCCGCCUCAACUCUCCUGUCUCUGACAGCAGCAGCCAGCCUGUAUAAACCAGGGUCAGUAAGUUCAGUGCUAUUCAGCCCCCUAGGAGCUCCAGCCCAGAGCCACAAAAGAAGUUUCUAAGGCGUCACGCACGGGGGUGAAACUUCUUCUCUUCCCUGCCAGCUGCAAAGAGCAAUUAAUCCUGGUGGAGGCUGAGCGCCAGAUCCCCUGAACCCUCGUCAUGGCUUCAGGUUGGGUCGCAGCUGCGUUAACAGCCUCGGUGCUAAGUGCCCUGGGCAGAGCGGAGAUCCAGCAGCCCUUCUCCGCAGAGGCGUUGGAGGGAGAGAAAUUGAACCUCUCUUGCAGUCACCCUAAAGUGACCACCGAGAAGAUAACACGGUACCGCCACUUCCCCAGCCAGGCACCGCGGCUUUUGGCAGGUGGAUUCAGGGGAGAGACCGCCAGCACCGAAGCGGACGGCACUUUAUACAUCGCUCAGGACAAAGCUUCCAGUGUCUUUGAGUUCCGCAGGGUGCGGCUGGCAGACGCAGCGGUGUAUUACUGUGCUCUGAGCGACACAGCGUGACAGCCAGGGGAGGCCCCCGCGCAAUAUCUCACACCAGCCCCGAGCAGGGGGGCAGCAGCGUCUCUUGGCUGGGCGCGCUAAGGAGAGAGAGUUUCUUCCAUCUCGUGAAGCAAGAAAAAGGAUCCGCUCCUUUCAGAGUCUAAAAAGCUGGGAGAGGAAUAACACUUCUUUCUGGCCUGGUGAACAAGGAGAAACACCAGCUGUCUGCGAUUUCUGUCUUUCAGACGCAGGCAACUUUCGGUCUGCAGUGGUUGUUGUUUUUAAA